rnacentral:rRNA from 1 species
AUCGAUGAAGAACGCAGCGAAAUGCGAUAAGUAAUGUGAAUUGCAGAAUUCAGUGAAUCAUCGAAUCUUUGAACGCACCUUGCGCUCCUUGGUAUUCCGAGGAGCAUGCCUGUUUGAGUGUCAUUAAUAUAUCAACCUUCUCUUUUUUGAGUUGUUUGGAUGUGGGGGUUUGCUGGCCUCUUAAAUGAUUCAGCUCCCCUGAAAUGCAUUAGCAGAACAACCUGUUCAUUGGCGUGAUAAUUAUCUAUGCUAUUGAAUGUGAGGGGCAGUUCAGCUUUCUAACCGUCCUCGGACAAUUCAUCAUUAAUGUGACCUCAAAUCAGGUAGGACUACCCGCUGAACUUAAGCAUAUCAAUAAGCGGAGGAAAAGAAACUAACAAGGAUUCCCCUAGUAACUGCGAGUGAAGCGGGAAAAGCUCAAAUUUAAAAUCUGGCGGUCUUUUGGCUGUCCGAGUUGUAAUCUAGAGAAGUGUUAUCCGCGCUGGACCGUGUACAAGUCUCCUGGAAUGGAGCAUCAUAGAGGGUGAGAAUCCCGUCUUUGACAUGGACUGCCAGGGCUUUGUGAUGCGCUCUCAAAGAGUCGAGUUGUUUGGGAAUGCAGCUCAAAAUGGGUGGUAAAUUCCAUCUAAAGCUAAAUAUUGGCGAGAGACCGAUAGCGAACAAGUACCGUGAGGGAAAGAUGAAAAGAACUUUGGAAAGAGAGUUAAACAGUACGUGAAAUUGCUGAAAGGGAAACGCUUGAAGUCAGUCGCGUCAUCCAGGGAUCAACCUUGCUUUUGCUUGGUGCACUUUCUGGUUUGAUGGGUCAGCAUCAAUUUUGAUCAUUGGAAAAAGGCUCUGGGGAAUGUGGCAUCUUUGGAUGUGUUAUAGCCCUUGGUCAUAUACAAUGGUUGGGAUUGAGGAACUCAGCACGCCGCAAGGCCGGGUUUUUAACCACGUACGUGCUUAGGAUGCUGGCAAAAUGGCUUUAAUCGACCCGUCUUGAAACACGG